rnacentral:rRNA from 1 species
AGGAUGAACGCUGGCGGUGUGCCUAAUACAUGCAAGUCGAACGAAGCCUUCGGGCUUAGUGGCGGACGGGUGAGUAACACGUUGGUACCUACCCCGAAGUGGGGAAUAACUGCCCGAAAGGGUGGCUAAUACCGCAUAAUACCGCAAGGUUAAAGCGAGUAAUCGCGCUUCGGGAGGGGCCUGCGUCCCAUUAGCUAGUUGGUAGGGUAAUGGCCUACCAAGGCGACGAUGGGUAGCUGGAUCGAGAGGUUGACCAGCCACACUGGGACUGAGAUACGGCCCAGACUCCUACGGGAGGCAGCAGUAAGGAAUCUUCCACAAUGGACGAAAGUCUGAUGGAGCAACACCGCGUGCAGGAUGACGGCCUUCGGGUUGUAAACUGCUUUUUAUAUGGGAAGAUUAUGACGGUACCAUAUGAAUAAGGACCGGCUAACUACGUGCCAGCAGCCGC